AUCAACUUUCGAUGGUAGGAUAGAGGCCUACCAUGGUGGUAACGGGUAACGGGGUGUUAGGGCACGACACCGGAGAGGGAGCCUGAGAAACGGCUACCACAUCCAAGGAUGGCAGCAGGCGCGCAAAUUACCCAAUCCCGACACGGGGAGGUAGUGACAAUAAAUAACAAUACGGGGUUCUUUUGGAUCUCGUAAUUGGAAUGAGUACAAUUUAAAUCUCUUAACGAGGAACAAUUGGAGGGCAAGUCUGGUGCCAGCAGCCGCGGUAAUUCCAGCUCCAAUAGCGUAUAUUAAAGUUGUUGCAGUUAAAAAGCUCGUAGUUGAAUUUCAAGACCGGCUUAUUGGUCGUGCUUUUGUACGUACUGGUAUAAUCGGUUUCUCCUUUCUGACGAACUAUAAUGCCAUUAAUUUGGUGUUAUAGGGAAUCAGGACUGUUACUUUGAAAAAAUUAGAGUGUUUAAAGCAGGCUCACGCUUGAAUACAUUAGCAUGGAAUAACGGAAUAGGACGUUUGAUUCUAUUUUGUUGGUUUCUAGGAUCGACGUAAUGAUUAAUAGGGAUAGUUGGGGGCAUUAGUAUUCAAUUGUCAGAGGUGAAAUUCUUGGAUUUAUUGAAGACUAACUACUGCGAAAGCAUUUGCCAAGGAUGUUUUCAUUAAUCAAGAACGAAAGUUAGGGGAUCGAAGACGAUCAGAUACCGUCGUAGUCUUAACCAUAAACUAUGCCGACUAGGGAUCGGAUGAUGUUAAUUUUUUAAUGACUCAUUCGGCGCCUUACGGGAAACCAAAGUGUUUGGGUUC
rnacentral:rRNA from 1 species